UCUCAGUUACCGGGCCGUGCUUGGGCGCAGACGGGCAAACGGCACCAACAUGCCGGUGGACCGGAGCUGGGUUUGCCGCAAAACCUACGUGACCCCACGGAGACCCUUUGAGAAAUCCCGACUGGACCCAGAGCUGAAGCUGAAGUACGGGCUCCGGAACGAACAGAGGUCUGGAGGGUCAAGUUUACCCUGGCCAAGAUCCGCGAGGCCGCCCGGGAGCUGCUGACGCUGGACGAGAAGGACCCGGGGCGUCUGUUUGCAGGCAUCGGGGCGCGAUGAAGCCGGGUUGCAUCCUGGCCUGAAGGUCAAGGAUUUCUUGGAGCCUGCAGACCCAGGCCUCCAAUCCCAUCCAUCCCGCCGGUGUGCUGAUCCGCCAGCGCCGUCUCAGGGCCCGCAGGCCGCCAGGGAACGCCCCGUCCUCACUGUCCACCCGGAUUCCCAGAAGCACGUUGACUUCUCCCUCAGCUCUCCACACGGGGGUGGCCACCUGGACCGCGCCAAGACCAAGCACGCCAAGAAAGGCCAAGGUGGGGCCUCCUGGACAGGUGGGUGGUCUGGUUUUACAGUCAGAGAAUAA